GCCUGUUAUGUCAAUUUACCAAGCCAACUCCUGUGUUUGGCUGCGAUUCAAGGUUGCACGGGAGGAGCCGAACUCUCUAAAGUGAAGGCUAGUAUUUAGAGCGGUGGAGUUAUUCAUGUCACCAAGCGUUUUCCCAACAACUGCUGCAGACCGCAGGGGAUCGCCGGCACCCCAGAACUCAUCACGCAGAGCCGCAGACUGGGAGAGAUUUUUCCUUCAGCCCUGAGAAGAUUUGAUGGAUAAAGUCUUCCUUUUUUCCCAUCUAUCUUCUGGCGCUGUGGACAUCUGUGGAAAUACCAAUGGUCAUUGAUUUUGCUGACAAAAAUCUAAAACAAGACAUAAGGCCGGGGUGUAAAUAUCCCGCUCCGCGUUAAGGGUCUGGCUGUUGGUACGGUUCGCAGCAAGUCCAGCCGCUCGCACCUGGACCGGAUUGAAAGGGAAUACGGGCUGAACUCUGGAUGUGUGAAUCUGAGGCCUGCCAGCGAAGAGAGAGACGCUCGGGUCAGGAGAGAGAGAGAGAGAGAGAGAAAAGGUCAGUCACACAGACAGUCUUACACAGUAAUGUGUUUCAAAGCUGUUCCCUCUGCAGGGGUAAAGAAACACUCGAUCACUUUAUAUCUCAAUAAUCGUGUGACUGAGCGCUAACCCUCCUGACUGCACAUUCGUGGACGCUGCUCUGGAAAGACUUGGGCCGAAUAUGAUUUAGAUGUGAAGAAGAAUCUGGCAAUUUUAUAGUUCAGGGUUGAAAAAUUUAACUCUAUGACAAAUGGCUUGCAGAUCCUAAAAAAUGACCCUUAUAAAUAUACAAUUGGACAGUCGCGCUCAAUGCAACAGCAGUGCAUGAAGAAACUUUCUCACAGAAGCUAAAAGCAUCAUCUGACCUCCAACCAGCUCUCUUGUGCUGACAUUACAGUAAGUACGUGUAAGUCAGUGUUGUGUAAAAACAAACCAAAUGCCAACCGAGGCGCACAGUUUUCAUACACAAGAGCGGUUAACAUCAGCUACAACCUCUAUGACAUUUCAUCCAAAUGAAAAGAAUUUGGAAAAAAGCCUGUCCUGAUUUCUGACUCUGUUGGCCCUGUUAGAG